UGGGGAAUAUUGGACAAUGGGCGCAAGCCUGAUCCAGCCAUGCCGCGUGAGUGAUGAAGGCCCUAGGGUUGUAAAGCUCUUUCACCGGUGAAGAUAAUGACGGUAACCGGAGAAGAAGCCCCGGCUAACUUCGUGCCAGCAGCCGCGGUAAUACGAAGGGGGCUAGCGUUGUUCGGAUUUACUGAGCGUAAAGCGCACGUAGGCGGACUAUUAAGUCAGGGGUGAAAUCCCGGGGCUCAACCCCGGAACUGCCUUUGAUACUGGUAGUCUUGAGUUCGAGAGAGGUGAGUGGAAUUCCGAGUGUAGAGGUGAAAUUCGUAGAUAUUCGGAGGAACACCAGUGGCGAAGGCGGCUCACUGGCUCGAUACUGACGCUGAGGUGCGAAAGCGUGGGGAGCAAACAGG
rnacentral:rRNA from 1 species